rnacentral:rRNA from 1 species
UGGGGAAUAUUGGACAAUGGGGGCAACCCUGAUCCAGCCAUGCCGCGUGUGUGAAGAAGGCCUUUUGGUUGUAAAGCACUUUAAGCAGGGAGGAGAGGCUAAUGGUUAAUACCCAUUAGAUUAGACGUUACCUGCAGAAUAAGCACCGGCUAACUCUGUGCCAGCAGCCGCGGUAAUACAGAGGGUGCGAGCGUUAAUCGGAAUUACUGGGCGUAAAGCGAGUGUAGGUGGCUCAUUAAGUCACAUGUGAAAUCCCCGGGCUUAACCUGGGAACUGCAUGUGAUACUGGUGGUGCUAGAAUAUGUGAGAGGGAAGUAGAAUUCCAGGUGUAGCGGUGAAAUGCGUAGAGAUCUGGAGGAAUACCGAUGGCGAAGGCAGCUUCCUGGCAUAAUAUUGACACUGAGAUUCGAAAGCGUGGGUAGCAAAACAGGAUUAGAUACCCUGGUAGUCCACGCCGUAAACGAUGUCUACUAGCCGUUGGGGUCCUUGAGACUUUAGUGGCGCAGUUAACGCGAUAAGUAGACCGCCUGGGGAGUACGGC